rnacentral:rRNA from 1 species
GGGAGGUAGUGACAAUAAAUAACAAUACGGGGUCCUUUCGGGUUUCGUAAUUGGAAUGAGUACAAUUUAAAUCUCUUAACGAGGAACAAUUGGAGGGCAAGUCUGGUGCCAGCAGCCGCGGUAAUUCCAGCUCCAAUAGCGUAUAUUAAAGUUGCUGCAGUUAAAAAGCUCGUAGUUGAAUUUCGGGACCAUCAUGUCGGUCGUGCCUCGGUACGUACUGGCAUUGUUGGUUUCUCCCUUCUGACGAACCAUGAUGUCAUUUAUUUGGUGUUGUGGGGAAUCAGGACUGUUACUUUGAAAAAUUAGAGUGUUUAAAGCAGGCUCACGCUUGAAUACAUUAGCAUGGAAUAAUGAAAUAGGACGUUCGAACCUAUUUUGUUGGUUUCUAGGUACAACGUAAUGAUUAAUAGGGAUAGUUGGG